rnacentral:lncRNA from 1 species
GGGGAAUUUUAGGCUGAAUUUUAGGCUGAAUUUUUGGGGAAUUUUAGGCUGUAUUUGCGGAUUUUUGGGCCCAAUUUUUUGGGAUUUUUGGGCUUAAUUUUUGGGGAAUUUUAGGCUGAAUUUUACGUAGAAUGUUUGGGGAACUUUGGGCUGAAUUUGGGGAUUUUUGGGCCUAAUUUUUCUGGAAUUUUGGGCAUAAUUUUUGGGGAAUUUUAGGCUCAAUAUUAGGCUGAAUUUUUGGGGAAUUUUGGGCUGAAUUUCGGGAUUUUGGGGCCUAAUUUUUGGGAAAUUUUAGGCUGAAUUUUUCCGAAAUUUAAGGCUGAAUUUUAGGCUGAAUUUGUGGGGAAUUUUGGGCUGAACUUGGGGAUUUUUGGGCUCAAUUUUUGGGGAAUUUUGGGCUGAAUUUGGGGAUAUUUGGGCUUAAUUUUUAAGGAAUUUUGGGCUGAAUUUUUGGGGAAUUUUAGGCUUAAUUUGGGGAUUUUUGGGCUUAAUUUUAGGGGAAUUUUGGGCCUAAUUUUCGGGGAGUUUUGGGCUUAAAUUUGUGGAAUUUUAGGCUAAAUUUUAGGCUGAAUUUUUGGGCAAUUUUGGGCUGAAUUUGCGGAUUUUUGGGCCUAAUUUUUGGGGAUUUUUGGGCUUACUUUUUGGGGAUUUUUGGGCUGAAUUUUUGGGGAAUUUUGGGCUGAAUUUCGGGAUUUUGGGGCCUAAUUUUUGGGAAAUUUUAGGCUGAAUUUUAGGCGGAAUUUUUGGGGAAUUUUGGACUGAAUUUGGGGAUUUAUGGGCCCAAUUUUUGGGGAUUUUUGGGCUGAAUUUUUGAGGAAUUUUGGGCUGAAUUUGGGGAUUUUUGGGCCUAAUUUUUGGGGAUUUUUGGGCUGAAUUUUUGGGGAAUUUUGGGCUGAAUUUCGGGAUUUUGGGGCCUAAUUUUUGGGAAAUUUUAGGCUGAAUUUUAGGCGGAAUUUUUGGGGAAUUUUGGACUGAAUUUGGGGAUUUAUGGGCCCAAUUUUUGGGGAUUUUUGGGCUGAAUUUUUGAGGAAUUUUGGGCUGAAUUUGGGGAUUUUUGGGCCUAAUUUUUGGGGAAUUUUCGGCUAAAUUUUGGGGGAAUUUUAGGCUUAAUUUUUGGGGAUUUUUGGGCUGAAAUUCUGGGGAAUUUUGGGCUGAAUUUGGCGAUUUUUGGGCCUAAUUUUUGGGGAAUUUUGGGAUGAAUUUUUUGGGAAUUCUUGGCUGAAUUUGGGGAGUUUUGGGCCUAAUUUUUGGGAUCUUUGCACCUAAUUUUCGAGGAAUUUUGGGCUUAAAUUUGGGGAAUUUUAGGCUGAAUUUUAGGCUGAAUUUUUGGGGAAUUUUAGGCUGUAUUUGCGGAUUUUUGGGCCCAAUUUUUGGGGAUUUUUAGGCUGAAUUUUUGGGGAAUUUUGGGCUGAACUUGGGGAUUUUAUGCUGAAUUUUUGGGGAAUUUUGGGCG